AGGACGAACGCUGGCGGCAUGCCUAACACAUGCAAGUCGAACGGGGGUAGCAAUACCCUAGUGGCGAACGGGUGAGUAACACAUAAGCAAUCUGCCCUUCACAGGGGGAUAACAGCGGGAAACUGCUGCUAAUACCGCAUAAGACCACGGUACCGCAUGGUACAGGGGUAAAAACGAAUCAGUGGUGAAGGAUGAGCUUAUGUCCCAUUAGCUAGUUGGUGAGAUAACAGCCCACCAAGGCGACGAUGGGUAGCCGACCUGAGAGGGUGAUCGGCCACACUGGAACUGAGACACGGUCCAGACUCCUACGGGAGGCAGCAGUGGGGAAUAUUGGGCAAUGGAGGAAACUCCUUACCCAGCAAUGCCGCGUGAGUGAAGAAGGUCUUCGGAUUGUAAAGCUCUUUGAUUGGGGACGAAGAAAGUGACGGUACCCAAAGAACAAGCCCCGGCUAACUACGUGCCAGCAGCAGC
rnacentral:rRNA from 1 species